rnacentral:rRNA from 1 species
GUGACUAGCUAACUGAAAUCAUAGAAUUUUUUAAAAUUCAUGAUGUCGUAAGGGAAAAUAAUGAUAAUACCUUACUAUGAGUGUCGCCCAAAUCUGGUGCCAGAAGACUCGGUAAGACCAGAGACGCAAACGUUAAUCAUCAUAAACAGGCGUAAAGGGUUUGUAGGCAGCUUUCACCAAACUAUGAUUACAAAAUAAAGUAGUUUAUUUGAAAGCUAGAAUCAAAAAGAGGUUAUAGUGUAUAACGCCUAGAGGAGGGCUGAUAUCCAUAGAUCCUAGGCAGAAUACUCAGGGCGAAGGCCACUCUCCACUACUGAUUGACGCUGAGAAACGAAGGUUAGGGUAGGAAAUAGGAUUAGAUACCCCGGUACUCCUUUCUGUAAGGCGAUGAAUGGUAGUCAUUAGUUUUAUAACUAGAGNCGAAGUUAACACAAUAACCAUUCCGCCUUGUGAGUACUACUGCNAAGUAGAAAACCAAAAAAUUAGUCGGUCUCGAAGCNNNCGGAGU